rnacentral:rRNA from 1 species
AGUGAACGCUGGCGGUAGGCCUAACACAUGCAAGUCGAACGGCAGCACAGUAAGAGCUUGCUCUUACGGGUGGCGAGUGGCGGGCGGGUGAGGAAUACAUCUGAAUCUACUUUUUCGUGGGGGAUAACGUAGGGAAACUUACGCUAAUACCGCAUACGACCUACGGGUGAAAGCAGGGGAUCUUCGGACCUUGCGCGAUUGAAUGAGCCGAUGUCGGAUUAGCUAGUUGGCGGGGUAAAGGCCCACCAAGGCGACGAUCCGUAGCUGGUCUGAGAGGAUGAUCAGCCACACUGGAACUGAGACACGGUCCAGACUCCUACGGGAGGCAGCAGUGGGGAAUAUUGGACAAUGGGCGCAAGCCUGAUCCAGCCAUACCGCGUGGGUGAAGAAGGCCUUCGGGUUGUAAAGCCCUUUUGUUGGGAAAGAAAAGCAGCAGGUUAAUACCCCGCUGUUCUGACGGUACCCAAAGAAUAAGCACCGGCUAACUUCGUG